rnacentral:rRNA from 1 species
CCUGCCGGCGGUCACUGCUAUCAGGUUCCGACUAAGCCAUGCAAGUCAUGGGGCCGUAAGGCACCGGCGAACAGCUCAGUAACACGUGGAUAAUUUACCCUCAGGCGGGGCAUAACCUCGGGAAACUGAGGCUAAUUCCCCAUAGUCAUUACAAACUGGAAUGGUUGUAAUGAUGAAAGCUUCUGCACCUGAGGAUAAGUCUGCGGCCUAUCAGGUAGUAGGUGGUGUAAAGGACCACCUAGCCUAAGACGGGUACGGGCCCUGAAAGGGGGAGCCCGGAGAUGGACUCUGAGACAACAGUCCAGGCCCUACGGGGCGCAGCAGGCGCGAAAACUGUGCAAUGCGCGAAAGCGCGACACGGGGAGCCUGAGUGCCUUGACUUUUUGUCAAGGCUUUUCUGAUGCCUAAAAAGCAUCAGGAAUAAGGGCUGGGCAAGACGGGUGCCAGCCGCCGCGGUAACACCCGCAGCUCGAGUGGUGAUCACUUUUAUUGAGUCUAAAGCGUUCGUAACCGGUCUUAUAAAUCUUCAGAUAAAUUCUUCCGCUUAACGGAAGAACUUCUGAAGAGACUGUAAGACUUGGGACCGGGUGAGGUUGAAUGUACUUUC